rnacentral:rRNA from 1 species
UACGAAGGACCCGAGCGUUAUCCGGAUUUAUUGGGUUUAAAGGGUGCGUAGGCGGACUUACAAGUCAGUGGUGAAAUCUCCCCGCUCAACGGGGAAACUGCCAUUGAAACUAUUUGUCUUGAGUACAUUUGAGGCGGGCGGAAUGUGUCAUGUAGAGGUGAAAUUCUUAGAUAUGACACAGAACACCAAUUGCGAAGGCAGCUCGCUAAACUGUAACUGACGCUGAGGCACGAAAGCGUGGGGAGCAAACAGG